rnacentral:tRNA from 1 species
UUAAUUAAAGCCAAAAAGAGGCAUAUCACUGUUAAUGAUAAUAUUGAGUUUAUACUCUAAUUAAA